CCAUAUAUGAGCAUUUUUCAUAUCAUAGGCUAGGUCAAACCCACCGAACCGUCGCGUAGGGUCUCGAUUCGCCGAACAAAGUUGUCCACGAGUCUCUAGAUACCCUAAAAGUAAUCAGCGAAGAGAUACGAGGGCAUUACAACCAUCCUAUAACAUCAAACAUUAACCUAGGAGCAAAAGGGGCAAAACUCACCUCAAGAGUAGAAAUCUUCGCCUAAGCUCCAAAAGAGAGCUAGGACCCUUCCAAUCCAAGCCUUAGGAAGGUUCUAAUCCAAUCAAUUUGGGUCCAAAAGCCCUAGAUCAAAAAUGCCCAAAAAAAUGAACCCUAAACAUCAAAUCUAGGGUUUCAUCUCCAAAAACCUAGCAAAACAAGAUCUAGAGGGAGGAACCUUGCCACAUACCUCUAGGAUGCUCCAAUCCAAGCUCAAAAUCUUCUAGGGUUGAAGAUUGAUCCACCACAAGGCUCCAUAAGCAAGCUCCAAGCCUCCAAAAGUGGGAAAUAAGGAAGAAGAUGGUGCUCCAAGCAAGCUCUUCUCCUCUUCUUCUCCUUCUUCUCCUUCUUCCUCUCUUCUUCUCUCUCUAGAAUGCAAAGGGUUGAGAGAAAAUGAGAGUGAGAGGAGAGGAGAGGCUGCCUAUAGCCUCUAAGGUAACAAAAUCCAGCUAGGCCCUCUAAAAACCCAAAAUUACAUCAGCCCGAACUGGGCAGUUUUCGCCCAGAGGGACCGGUCUCUCCCCAGCAGGGACCGGUCUCUCGCUGCGAACCCGAAAACCCAGCGUUCGGGAACCGGUCUCUCCCUGCGCGGGACCGGUCUCUCACUGCGAAGACGCGUUCGGGAACCGGUCUCGCCUGCCAGGGACCGGUUGCCUCAGGCUGCCUCAACACUG
rnacentral:lncRNA from 1 species